rnacentral:tRNA from 1 species
GGGGCGCGAGCGCUUUACUAAUAUCAAGUAAAGGGGCCUGAAAAAAAAACAAACGUAAUAGGGCUUCGCUUCUUCCCCUUUAUUGAAUUGAAAACGAAAGCGCUAACGCGCCUUAUAUUUAUUAUUUAGUAGAGCCGCUAGACGCUCACGUUUUUUGUCUGGUCUGGGUGGAAGCUGGCGGCAGGGCUUGCUUAACCGGAUACACGGAAUUGGGAUCUCUUUCGCAUGCAACUAUUUCUAUCGCGCGGGCUUAUUAUUUCAUUUGAAACCCUUUUUGCUCAUAAGUAAGUAAGCGUUGGUAGGAGCGGCGGGAUGAUGACGAGUAUAUAAAUCACUAAAGAGCAAAAAUAAGAAAUGGCAAGAUAAAUUUUAUAUCGAUGGAGGAAAUAACGAUGUGGAAAACAGGGCGGGGAUUCUCUACAUUGAAAUCGAUUCAAAUUUGGUAAAAAAAAAAAGACUUUUCUUUACAGUCGUAUCUACUGUGAUAAGAAAGCGCUCUUAGUUCAGUUCGGUAGAACGUGGGUCUCCAAAACCCGAUGUCGUAGGUUCAAAUCCUACAGAGCGUGAUUCCGUUCUUGUUAGG